rnacentral:lncRNA from 1 species
AAGCAGUGGUUAUGGACCAAAAAUUUGAGAAGGCACCUAGACCUGAUGGUUUCAUUGGGGUCUUCUUCAAAAACAGUUGGGACAUUAUCAAGAAAGAUCUGAUUCUAGCAAUGCAAUACUUUUACAAUCAACACUUCAAUAUCCUAAACUCAGCACAAAUUGUCCCAAUACCCAAGCAACCUGAAGCAAAAAGGGUGACUAACUAUAGAUCCA